rnacentral:tRNA from 1 species
GAGGGUAUAGCUCAAGUGGUAGAGUGCAUGCUUAGCAUGCAUGAGGUCCUGGGUUCAAUCCCCAGUACCUCCA